UUCCGUAUGUGAACCUGCGGAAGGAUCAUUCACACGAAUUAUCCAAAUCCACGUGCAUCUUCGAGUGAGGGUCGCAGAAGGGCUGGAAACGGCCAUCUGUGUUCUCUCGAGGCUGGUUGGGGCAGCUUGGGGCCAGCUUGCUGGCAUCCUCUCUGUCUCGGCCAGCACCCAUACCUCAAACACCUGUAUCAUUCCAGUGUUGUCGGUGUCUUCUGACGCCACAUUCAACCUUACAACUUUUAGCGAUGGAUGCCUCGGCUCGAACAACGAUGAAGGGCGCAGCGAAAUGCGAUAAGCACUGUGAAUUGCAGAAUUCCGUGAAUCAAUAGAACCCUGAACGCAUCCUGCGCUUUCGGGAUAUCCCUGAAAGCAUGUCUGCUUCAGAGUCUCCACUGUAUCCUGCAGCAUUGGCCUGGAGCCUGGCUGCGUCUCUGCGCGUCAGAGCGCGCCCCUGCCCUCGUGGCUCGCGGCGACUCUGACGUGUUUAAUGCAUCGACCUGCCUUGAGAGCGCCAACUUGGUGAUCGCCCUUGCGGUGUUUCGUCUCUUUGUUCGCCUCAACGGUUUCUGUGUCGUCUCUCCUUUGCUGUCCUCGCGGCAGUGAACCAAGACAUGAAGUUAGGCAAGGUUACCCGCUGAAAUUAAGCAUAUC
rnacentral:rRNA from 1 species